rnacentral:rRNA from 1 species
GUGGGGAAUCUUGCGCAAUGGGCGAAAGCCUGACGCAGCCAUGCCGCGUGAAUGAUGAAGGUCUUAGGAUUGUAAAAUUCUUUCACCGGGGACGAUAAUGACGGUACCCGGAGAAGAAGCCCCGGCUAACUUCGUGCCAGCAGCCGCGGUAAUACGAAGGGGGCUAGCGUUGCUCGGAAUUACUGGGCGUAAAGGGCGCGUAGGCGGACAGGUAAGUUGGGGGUGAAAGCCCGGGGCUCAACCUCGGAACUGCCUUCAAUACUGGCUGUCUUGAGUAUGAGAGAGGUGUGUGGAACUCCGAGUGUAGAGGUGAAAUUCGUAGAUAUUCGGAAGAACACCAGUGGCGAAGGCGACACACUGGCUCAUUACUGACGCUGAGGCGCGAAAGCGUGGGGAGCAAACAGGAUUAGAAACCCUUGUAGUCC